UACAGAGGUCCCGAGCGUUGUUCGGAUUCAUUGGGCGUAAAGGGUGCGUAGGCGGCGCGGUAAGUCGGGUGUGAAAUCUCGGAGCUUAACUCCGAAACUGCAUUCGAUACUGCCGUGCUUGAGGACUGGAGAGGAGACUGGAAUUUACGGUGUAGCGGUGAAAUGCGUAGAGAUCGGGAGGAACACCAGUGGCGAAGGCGGCUACCUGGACCAGCACUGACACUGAGGCACGAAAGCGUGGGGAGCAAACAGG
rnacentral:rRNA from 1 species